AUUGAACGCUGGCGGCAGGCCUAACACAUGCACGUCGAGCGGAGCGGCGGACGGGCGAGUAAUGCCUACGAAUCUGCCUGGUAGUGGGGGAUAACGUCCGGUAACGGGCGCUAAUCCCGCAUACUAUCAGAUGUGCAUAGGUCGGAUUAGCUUGUUGGUGGGGUACAGGCCUACCAAGGCAACGAUCCAUAACUGGUCUGAGAGGAUGAUCAGUCAAACUGGAACUGAGACACGGUCCAGACUCCUACGAGAGGCAGCAGUGGGUAAUAUUAGACAAUGGGCGAAAGGCUGAUCCAGCCAUGCCGCGUGUGUGAAGAAGGGCUGCGGAUUGGAAAGCACUUUAAUUUGAGAGGCUGUACCAACAGAAUAAGCACCGGCUAACUGCGUGCCAGCAGCCGCGGUAAUUC
rnacentral:rRNA from 1 species